rnacentral:rRNA from 1 species
AACGCGAAGAACCUUACCUACCCUUGACAUGCUCGGAAUCUGGUAGAGAUGCUGGAGUGCCUUCGGGAGCCGAGACACAGGUGCUGCAUGGCUGUCGUCAGCUCGUGUCGUGAGAUGUUGGGUUAAGUCCCGUAACGAGCGCAACCCCUAUUCUUAGUUGCCAACAGGUAGAGCUGGGAACUCUAAGGAGACUGCCGGUGACAAGCCGGAGGAAGGUGGGGAUGACGUCAAGUCCUCAUGGCCCUUACGGGUAGGGCUACACACGUGUUACAAUGGCCGGUACAGAGGGAAGCGAAGCCGCGAGGUGGAGCGAAUCCUGAUAAAGCUGGUCGUAGUCCGGAUUGGAGUCUGCAACUCGACUCCAUGAAGUUGGAAUCGCUAGUAAUCGCGGAUCAGAACGCCGCGGUGAAUCCGUUCCCGGGCCUUGUACACACCGCUAGUC